AUAAGAAGCAGUGCCAAAUCAGGGGUUGGUGAACUCUCAUGCUUUCUUUCCUUAAAGUAUUUUUACAUGUUCGGACAUUGCUUUGCAUGGGGUGUGAUGGCCCACUGUUUCCGCAAGACCAUACCAUUUCUGGAUGGAUCGGCCUGCUUGGAGCUCCAGUGUCUCACAGCCUCAGAGGGAACCUUUAUCUGAGUUGCUGAGCAAACUCUGGGUACACCAAUGAAGGCUUGCUAAGGAGACUCUGGCAAGAGCUACCGACGUGCUCUUCUGCUCCUGAGGUUCAGAUGUAGCCAGUGCAAGCAAACACUGAAUCUAAGAAGUUCCAUGUCAAGAACGUGGGGGGCCCCCUCUGUCGUUUGGAAUGAAUAACUUGCACCCCUUUUAUGGUAAAUGGAAUGAAGCCAGGGCUGCUAUGGAUUUUUUUCCCCAGGCUCUAAUAAGAAGGGCAAGGUGUCACAUAUCAGCUUAGGGACCACUUGUCAAGCUCUGAGCAUCUCCAAGGCUAAGGAGGGUUCCCAGGUUACUCUGGGGAGAGCCCAGGCAUGUCUGUGUGUGACCCAGAGGAGACCCAUAAAGCUUGGUCAAGUGUCUUCUGAGCCUGGGCUCUGUGCUAUUGACUUGUCC
rnacentral:lncRNA from 1 species